rnacentral:rRNA from 1 species
AACGAACGCUGGCGGCAUGCCUAACACAUGCAAGUCGAACGAGACCUUCGGGUCUAGUGGCGCACGGGUGCGUAACGAGUGGGAACCUGCCCGUAGGUUAGGAAUAACUCCCCGAAAGGGGUGCUAAUACCGGAUAAUGUCUUAGGACCAAAGAGUUAUCGCCUUUGGAUGGGCCCGCGUUGGAUUAGCUAGUUGGUAGGGUAAAAGCCUACCAAGGCGACGAUGCAUAGCUGGUCUGAGAGGAUGAUCAGCCACACUGGGACUGAGACACGGCCCAGACUCCUACGGGAGGCAGCAGUAGGGAAUAUUGGACGAUGGGCGAUAGCCUGAUCCAGCAAUGCCGCGUGAGUGAUGAAGGCCUUAGGGUUGUAAAUCUCUUUUACCCGGGAUGAUAAUGACAGUACCGGGAGAAUAAGCUCCGGCUAACUCCGUG